rnacentral:rRNA from 1 species
UACGUAGGGUGCGAGCGUUGUCCGGAAUUAUUGGGCGUAAAGGGCUCGUAGGCGGUCUGUUGCGUCGGGAGUGAAAACUCAGGGCUUAACCCUGAGCCUGCUUCCGAUACGGGCAGACUAGAGGUAUGCAGGGGAGAACGGAAUUCCUGGUGUAGCGGUGAAAUGCGCAGAUAUCGGGAGGAACACCGGUGGCGAAGGCGGUUCUCUGGGCGAUUGACCUGACGCUGAGGAGCGAAAGUGUGGGGAGCGAACAGG